UACGUAGGGUGCAAGCGUUAAUCGGAAUUACUGGGCGUAAAGCGUGCGCAGGCGGUUUUGUAAGUCUGAUGUGAAAUCCCCGGGCUCAACCUGGGAAUUGCAUUGGAGACUGCAAGGCUAGAAUCUGGCAGAGGGGGGUAGAAUUCCACGUGUAGCAGUGAAAUGCGUAGAUAUGUGGAGGAACACCGAUGGCGAAGGCAGCCCCCCUGGGUCAAGAUUGACGCUCAUGCACGAAAGCGUGGGGAGCAACAAGGAUUACGAAACCGUAGUAAGA
rnacentral:rRNA from 1 species